rnacentral:rRNA from 1 species
GAUGAACGCUGGCGGCAGGCCUAACACAUGCAAGUCGAGCGGUAACACAGAGGAGCUUGCUCCUUGGGUGACGAGCGGCGGACGGGUGAGUAAUGCCUGGGGACCUGCCCGAUAGAGGGGGAUAACUACGGGAAACUGUAGCUAAUACCGCAUAAUGUCUACGGACCAAAGUGGGGGCUCUUCGGACCUCAUGCUAUCGGAUGAACCCAGGUGGGAUUAGCUAGUUGGUGAGGUAAUGGCUCACCAAGGCGACGAUCUCUAACUGGUUUGAGAGAAUGACCAGUCGCACGGGAACUGAGACACGGUCCAGACUCCUACGGGAGGCAGCAGUGGGGAAUAUUGCACAAUGGGCGCAAGCCUGAUGCAGCCAUGCCGCGUGUGUGAAGAAGGCCUUCGGGUUGUAAAGCACUUUCAGCGGGGAGGAAGGGCUACUAGUUAAUACCUAGUGGCAUUGACGUUACUCGCAGAAGAAGCACCGGCUAACUCCGUGCCAGCAGCCGCGGUAAAAC